rnacentral:lncRNA from 1 species
UAAGCUAAAAUUAAGUUAGGGAGAUUGUUAUUGAUAGCAACCCCUAGUGGCUAUUACAAUUGAUAUAGAUGAUGAAAUCAGUAAUUAGAAUAAGAUUGCUGAGCAAGGAAAUAGUACGAGCUCCUCUGCCCAGCUGUCCUUCCAAUAGCCAUAUUGGCAUAGGAUGGAAUCUGCUAGAAAGCUAAAUGUCCAGGGACUUAGUUAUAAUACUAAAAAUUUGUAAAAUAAAAUCACUAGGACUAAAGUGCUAAUGACAAAACUUGAAUUCUCCCCUCUUGAAAUUUUUCUUGUCCUCAAGGAAGAAAAACUGAAACCUCGUCUUCAAGACAUAAUAAUCCUCCAAGGUAGUUUGAUCUUCAAUGCUCCCAUUGCAUAAGGACAUGGGCUAUAGCUUUUUUUUCCCUUCUAAUCAUUCUCCUAUCGAAUAUGGACUUAGGAGUAGCGCAAUAGGGACUUGUAGUGUCCAUGACUGGAGGAUGAGUUAUGUUAUCAGGUAUAUAGAAGCUUGGUAUUAUGAGGGAGACAUGGAAAGUGGGGUGUAUAAUGAUGUUAGAUGGAAGGCUCAACUUGUAGGCAACUACCCUAGUUUUUUGGACGAUUUGAUAAGGUUCAUAGUACUUGACUACUAGCUUGGAAAAGUGAGUGGUAGAUAAGAUGAACUGCUUGUAUGAUUGGAUCUUUAAGUAGACACAAUCACCAAAUUGAAACUGACUAUCUAGCCUGUGUUGAGAUCAAUUAAGGUGAUAUUUGAGGAGUUGUGUCUUGAAUUCUCUUGCGAUAAGACUCUUAUCUACUUGUUCUUCAACAACAUCCCCAGGAAGAUAAGGCAAAUAUAUAGGAGGAGGUUGUCCAUAGUGAGCUUAAUAAGGAGUGGUCUAGGU